UUUCUUUUUUGCCUGUUCGCUGGCAUAAUGUGUUCAAUAUUCACACUGUUACUGUUCAAGUCCGUUUGAUCGCCUAAUUCACGCCACCACCCACACCACAAGACUUGCCUCCACUAGAUCGGCCAAAACCCAAAGCACCGUAGUCGAUAGCUUAUUCACGCGCACGUGAUGCCCACUUCGGCACGUGAGGCCCACUUGCGACAUCAUCUUAUGCGCGUGAUGCCCAUAUGCCACCUUCUAAACCUCUGUUUUCAACUAGAUUCUAAAUCAGUUGUUUCUCGUUUUUUUGGGGGAUCACAUUAUGUUGCACAUACUUUUUGCUCGAACUUACAGUUUGUUGAUAUUUUUUGGAUAUUUGAAGUUUGUUUUGUUUGAUAGAUCUAUCUUUUGUCUCUAAUAUUGUUUGUCUGCUAAUUUUACGGAUAUGGCAGUUAAAGAAAGCUAAAGUGGAUUGACCUGACUCAGUGAACAUGAAGUAGAGAAGAUUAAAUCCCUUCUUAGUAAGUUGGAGAAACCAAUAGUCUGCCUUGGCAUGGAUUGAAAGCAGGUACUAAGAAGCAAAAGUAUGAGAGAAUCCGUGAGAUGAAAGUUUCUACUUCUAUUGAGUUGUUCUUGCCUUGUCGCUCCAGGAUUCCAGUUUGAUUAUGUCUUUGAUUGGACCAUUUUGAUAUAUCAACAGUCUCAAAUCGCCACUCCUCCUUCACGUACCAUUGGUCUUGCAGCUGGACCAAGUUCUGGUCUGCCAAGUUCUGGUCUGCCACUAGCUUCUCCAAAUGCUGAUGGACAGUCAGUUGUCAAGUUUGAAUUUCUUUCGAUAAAGUGGAUCUGCAAGGAGAGGUGCUAUCUUAAGCACAACCGUGAUGCAGUUGUUGGCAGUGAGACUGAGCCCUCUCGUCCUCUCACGCUGGAUUCGAGUCAAGGAACAUUUCAAAAAAGUUCUAGUGCUCAGAGAAGUUCACCUAUCUAUCAUGUCAUCUAAGCACAACCGAGUAUCAUCUGACAAGCUCUGUUUCGUAAUCAUUUCACAAGAUCAGAUAGUUAUUUAUAUUUAUCUAAUUUUUAGUGACAAUCAUCAUAGUAGUUAGAAAUCAAAAACAUAGAGUAACAGUCAUCAAAACAUGUAGUGACAGUUUAGGAACAUAGCAAGACACCCCUUUAUAAAGUUUCGGUAAAUUCGGGUGUCACUCAGUAUUUUUGACAUUUAAGAACGGCAUGUGACUUCUAGAUAAACUUUGUCCAUCAAUUUUCUUAUAGUGUAUUUGGAAGACUGGCUUA